rnacentral:rRNA from 1 species
AUUGAACGCUGGCGGCAGGCCUAACACAUGCAAGUCGAACGAGUGGCGGACGGGUGAGUAAUGUCUGGGAAACUGCCUGAUGGAGGGGGAUAACUACUGGAAACGGUAGCUAAUACCGCAUACCAUCAGAUGUGCCCAGAUGGGUUUAGCUUGUUGGUGGGGUAACGGCUCACAAAGGCGACGAUCCCUAGCUGGUCUGAGAGGAUGACCAGCCACACUGGAACGGAGACGCUGUCUAGGCUCCUACUGAGUCCAGCAGUGGGGAAUAUUGCACAAUGGGCGCAAGCCUGAUGCAGCCAUGCGGCGUGUAUGAAGAAGGCCUUCAGGUUGUAGAGUACGUUCAGCGGAGAGGCGUUACCCGCAGAAGAAGCACGGGCUAACUCCGUGCCAACCGCCGCGGUAAGUC